GACGAACGCUGGCGGCGCGCCUAACACAUGCAAGUCGAACGAGCGAGAGGAGGUUUACUUUCUCAAGCGAGUGGCUAACGGGUGAGUAACGCGUGAGGAACCUUCCUCAAAGAGGGGGACAACAGUUGGAAACGACUGCUAAUACCGCAUAAUCCCACGACCCGGCAUCGGGUAGAGGUAAAAGGAGCAAUCCGCUUUGAGUUGGCCUCGCUUCCGAUUAGCUAGUUGGUGAGGUAAUGGCCCCCCAAGGCGACGAUCGGUAGCCGGAAUGAGAGGUUGAACGGCCACAUUGGGACUGAGACACGGCCCAGACUCCUACGGGAGGCAGGAGUGGGGAAUAUUGCACAAUGGGGGAAACCCAGAAGCAGCGACGCCGGGUGGAGGAAGAAGGUCUUCGGAAUGUAAACUCCUGUUGUUGAGGAAGAUAAUGACGGUACUCAACAAGGAAGUGACGGCUAACUACGUG
rnacentral:rRNA from 1 species